GUCCACGCCGUAAACGAUGGAUGCUAGCCGUCGGCAAGCUUGCUUGUCGGUGGCGCAGCUAACGCAUUAAGCAUCCCGCCUGGGGAGUACGGCCGCAAGGUUAAAACUCAAAGGAAUUGACGGGGGCCCGCACAAGCGGUGGAGCAUGUGGUUUAAUUCGAUGCAACGCGAAGAACCUUACCAGCUCUUGACAUGUCCGGACGGUUUCCAGAGAUGGACUCCUCCCAGCAAUGGGCCGGAACACAGGUGCUGCAUGGCUGUCGU
rnacentral:rRNA from 1 species